CCUACGGGUUGCACCAGUGGGGAAUAUUGCACAAUGGGCGCAAGCCUGAUGCAGCCAUGCCGCGUGUAUGAAGAAGGCCUUCGGGUUGUAAAGUACUUUCAGCGGGGAGGAAGGUGUUGAGGUUAAUAACAUCAGCAAUUGACGUUACCCGCAGAAGAAGCACCGGCUAACUCCGUGCCAGCAGCCGCGGUAAUACGGAGGGUGCAAGCGUUAAUCGGAAUUGCUGGGCGUAAAGCGCACGCAGGCGGUCUGUCAAGUCGGAUGUGAAAUCCCCGGGCUCAACCUGGGAACUGCAUUCGAAACUGGCAGGCUGGAGUCUUGUAGAGGGGGGUAGAAUUCCAGGUGUAGCGGUGAAAUGCGUAGAGAUCUGGAGGAAUACCGGUGGCGAAGGCGGCCCCCUGGACAAUGACUGACGCUCAGGUGCGAAAGCGUGGGGAGCAAACAGGAUUAGAUACCCUCGUAGUC
rnacentral:rRNA from 1 species